GUCGGCUGAUCGGACAUCCUGCGGUUCAGGAUCCUGAACAGCCCCCCCAGCCCCCUUGAUCGUGGGCCGGUCGGCCGACAGACAGCCCUCUGAACUAUCCCGCUUGAGAACCCCGCGUGGCGCCCCUCUCCACGCGGGGU
rnacentral:sRNA from 1 species